rnacentral:tRNA from 1 species
GAUAGCUCAGUUAGUUAGAGCGUGGUGCUGAUAAUGCCAAGGUUGCAGGUUCUAUCCCUGUAUAGUCCCA